CUCAGCACCCCUGUGCCAAGCGCCUGCCUGCCUCCAGAAGCAGGGGGUCCCGUGCCAGGAGACUCAGUCAGGAGGAAUGCCCCCCGCCCGCCCGCCUGUGCCCACUGAGGGCGACUCACGCGCCUGGCAUUCCAGUGGUGCCAAGUGACGGACCUGUUGCUGCGCCAGGCAGGAUCACCUUUCUUCCCCAUCCCAGGCUGAGUCCUCUGUCCCUGAGCGCACGCCCACCACAGGAACAGGGUUACUCAGAUUUGGGAUGGCACCAGAAGAUCUCAGAAGUGACAAUCUCCCCAAUUAACAAGUGGGUCACAACUCUGGACACGGAACGCAGGGAGGGCAGCCUUUGAUUCCCCCCCUUUAAAACCCCCUGCUCCCCUGAUGGCCGGAAUCCCCGCCUCUGGGAGAGGAGUCCUCUGUGUUUUCUUCCUUCGCUAGUAAAGCAGUAAAACUUCUUUUUCCUUUUUUUCUCAAAAUCGUGCCCUCAUGAUUGGAUGGUCAUCACUGAGCUUUCGGGGACACCCCACCAGCUGAGGAUCAGAAGGUUGCAAGAGAGUUGUGCGGGCUGUGGAGGCACCGCGGAGACCCCUGGGCUAGGCGGAGGAGGGAAGCGAGCCAGAUCCACCUCCAUUCAAGACACCCAGUCUUUGAAGCCAAGCAUGGAGUCAUCUUUGAUUCACCCUUCUCACUCUCCAAAUCCAACUCAUGAGCAAGGCCUUCCAGGCACCCCACCCCAAAACACUUAAAUCUACUAUUGUUUCUCCACUUGCCAGGAGGACAGGGAGAAAAUGGGUGUCACUAAGCUGCUGAACAUCUCACCAAGCUGUCCAGGCUAGCCUGGAACUUAUGAUCCUCCUGCCUCAGCCUCUGGAGUCCCUGGGAUUACAGAUGGGACACUAAGCAUCGGAGAAGAGAUGUCCCCUGCUCAAGUUCACAAAGCUGAUACGUGGCACACAGCAGAGAUUCAAACCUCAUCGGACUCCAAAGAGCAAGUUCUUGAUAAGGACUAAGCAGCCACUAUUUUUUUUAAUAGAACUGAUGUUCAAUAAAAAUAAAAACUUUAAAGCAAGGCCUGAGAAGCAACACCUGGAAGCUCUUCCUGCUUACAAGGCGCCGGCAGCUCUUCUGUUGGAAAGGGGUUCUGGGAAGCUCUGGUUACCAAGGAGAAAGGAACCAGCUACCAAUCGCUUUAAGAGCACUUAAAAGCAACGGAGGAAGGCUUCCUUCUGCAGCUGUAUUGUACAUUUUUGUUGCUGGGACCACCCAUCUAAUAUACAGAGAUAUGUUUUUAAUAUACAUAUUAAAGGUUUUAUUAUAUACAA